UGGGAACCGGCGUAAGGGGCAGUAAGGCAUGGGUACCUACCCUGAAGUUCGGGAUAGCCAUCAGAAAUGGUGGGUAAUACCGGAUGAUGUCGAGAGACCAAAGAUUUAUCGCUUUGGGAGGGGCCCAUGUGAUAUUAGCUAGUUGGUGAGGUAACGGCUCACCAAGGCAAAGAUGUCUAGCGGGUGUGAGAGCACGACCCGCGCCACUCGCACUGAGACACUGGCGAGACAC
rnacentral:rRNA from 1 species